rnacentral:rRNA from 1 species
AUCAAUAAGCGGAGGAAAAGAAACCAACAGGGAUUGCCCUAGUAACGGCGAGUGAAGCGGCAACAGCUCAAAUUUGAAAUCUGGCUCUCGGGCCCGAGUUGUAAUUUGUAGAGGAUGCUUUUGAUGCGGUGCCUUCCGAGUUCCCUGGAACGGGACGCCAUAGAGGGUGAGAGCCCCGUCUGGUUGGAUGCCAAAUCUCUGUAAAGCUCCUUCGACGAGUCGAGUAGUUUGGGAAUGCUGCUCUAAAUGGGAGGUAUAUGUCUUCUAAAGCUAAAUACCGGCCAGAGACCGAUAGCGCACAAGUAGAGUGAUCGAAAGAUGAAAAGCACUUUGAAAAGAGAGUUAAAAAGUACGUGAAAUUGUUGAAAGGGAAGCGUUUAUGACCAGACUUGGGCUUGGUUAAUCAUCUGGGGUUCUCCCCAGUGCACUUUUCCAGUCCAGGCCAGCAUCAGUUUUCGCCGGGGGAUAAAGGCUUCGGGAAUGUGGCUCUCUCCGGGGAGUGUUAUAGCCCGUUGCGUAAUACCCUGGCGGGGACUGAGGUUCGCGCAUCUGCAAGGAUGCUGGCGUAAUGGUCAUCAACGACCCGUCUUGAAACACGGACCAAGGAGUCGUCUUCGUAUGCGAGUGUUCGGGUGUCAAACCCCUACGCGUAAUGAAAGUGAACGCAGGUGAGAGCUUCGGCGCAUCAUCGACCGAUCCUGAUGUUCUCGGAUGGAUUUGAGUAAGAGCAUACGGGGCCGGACCCGAAAGAAGGUGAACUAUGCCUGUGUAGGGUGAAGCCAGAGGAAACUCUGGUGGAGGCUCGCAGCGGUUCUGACGUGCAAAUCGAUCGUCAAACAUGGGCAUGGGGGCGAAAGACUAAUCGA